GAUAAACGCUGGCGGCGUGCCUAAUGCAUGCAAGUCGAACGGGAUGUUCUUUCGGGAGCAUCGAGUGGCGAACGGGUGAGGAACGCGUGGAGAACCUACCCCGGCGUGGGGGAUACCCGCCAGAAAUGGCGGCUAAUACCGCGUACGGUCCAGGAGCGAAGGGCUUACUGGAAGAAAGCAGCAAUGCGCGCUGGGAGGGGUCUGCGCCCGAUUAGCUUGUUGGCGGGGUAACGGCCCACCAAGGCGGUGAUCGGUAGCUGGUCUGAGAGGAUGAUCAGCCACACGGGGACUGAGACACGGCCCCGACUCCUACGGGAGGCAGCAGCAAGGAAUUUUCCGCAAUGGGGGCAACCCUGACGGAGCAACGCCGCGUGACGGAUGACGCCUCUUGGGGUGUAAACGUCUUUUGCCGAGGGAGAGAAUGGACGGUACUCGGCGAAUAAGGACCGGCUAACUACGUGCCAGCAGCCGCGGUAAUACGUAGGGUCCGAGCGUUGUCCGGAAUUACUGGGCGUAAAGCGUGCGCAGGCGGCCUUCCAAGCGCCACGUGAAAGCCCCGGGCUCAACCCGGGAGGGUCGUGGCGAACUGGGAGACUUGAGGCCGGUAGAGGUGGGUGGAACUCCUGGUGGAGUGGUGAAAUGCGUAGAGAUCAGGAAGAACACCCGUGGCGAAGGCGGCCCACUGGGCCGGUACUGACGCUGAGGCACGAAGGCGUGGGGAGCGAAACGGGAUUAGAUACCCCGGUAGUCCACGCAGUAAACGAUGUCGACUCGGUGUGGGCGGUCUUGACCCCGUCCGCGCCACAGCUAACGCGACAAGUCGACCGCCUGGGGAGUACGGCCGCAAGGCUAAACUCAAAGGAAU
rnacentral:rRNA from 1 species